rnacentral:rRNA from 1 species
UACGGAGGGUGCGAGCGUUGUCCGGAAUCACUGGGCGUAAAGGGCGCGUAGGCGGCGCGGUAAGCGGGCGGUGAAAGCCCGGGGCUCAACCCCGGGUCGGCCGUGCGGACUGCCGCGCUGGAGCACUGUAGAGGAGAGUGGAAUUCCUGGUGUAGCGGUGAAAUGCGCAGAUAUCAGGAAGAACACCAAUGGCGAAGGCAGCUCUCUGGGACGGUACUGACGCUGAGACGCGAAAGCGUGGGGAGCGAACAGG